CGCAUCUGUGCAUGCAGCAUAUCAAUAAGCGGAGGAAAAGAGGGCUAUUACCUACGCUUAGGAUGUUGACACACGCGCGUGCUCGACUCUAUACAUGACUCUGUGCAUAUCAAUAAGCGGAGGAAAAGAAACUAACAAGGAUUCCCUUAGUAACGGCGAGUGAAGCGGGAAGAGCUCAAAUUUGAAAUCUUCAAGGUUUUACCUUGACGAAUUGUAGUUUAAAGAAGUGUUUUCUGUUGAAGUUUUGGUAAAAGUUCUUUGGAAUAGGACAUCAUAGAGGGUGAGAAUCCCGUAUUUGACCAUUACUUUCAGCUGUGUGAUACACUUUCAAAGAGUCGGAUUGUUUGGGAAUGCAGUCCAAAAUGGGUGGUAAAUUUCAUCUAAAGCUAAAUAUUGGCGAGAGACCGAUAGCGAACAAGUACCAGUGAGGGAAAGAUGAAAAGAACUUUGAAAAGAGAGUUAAACAGUACGUGAAAUUGUCAAAAGGGAAGCGUUUGACACCAGUGUUGUUUUCUCGAAAAUCAAUUAAAAAGAGUUAGAUUUUGUUGUGUAUUGACCUUAACAGCUUGCACUUCAAUUUUCUUGCUUUUUUUAAUGCACUUUUCGUUUAACAAGUCCAACAUCAGUUUCUUUUGUUGUAAAAAGGUCAUUGGAAGGUGGCUUUCUUUUCGGAGAAAGUGUUUAUAGCCUUUGACUCCUACAAUCGGAGAGACUGAGGUCUGCAGCGUAGAUCCUUCGGGGUUAGAUACAUUUAGUGCUAAGUUAUAGCUUUUUAUAGACAACUUGUUGACUAUGAUUAGUCUUGUAGCUUACUCGCUUAUGCUAUUUUACCUACGCUUAGGAUGUUGAUGUGAUACUGCGAGCA
rnacentral:rRNA from 1 species